rnacentral:rRNA from 1 species
UACGGGGGGGGCAAGCGUUGUUCGGAAUUACUGGGCGUAAAGGGCGCGUAGGCGGUUCGUCAAGUCCUGUGUGAAAUCCCCCGGCUCAACUGGGGAACUGCACAGGAAACUAGCGGGCUUGAGUUCGGGAGAGGGAAGCGGAAUUCCGGGUGUAGCGGUGAAAUGCGUAGAUAUCUGGAGGAGCACCGGUGGCGAAGGCGGCAUCCUGGACCAAUAUUGACGCUGAGGAGCGAAAGCCAGGGGAGCAAACGGG